rnacentral:rRNA from 1 species
UACGUAGGGGGCAAGCGUUGUCCGGAAUCAUUGGGCGUAAAGAGCUCGUAGGCGGCUUGUCACGUCUGCUGUGAAAACUCGGGGCUCAACCCCGAGCCUGCAGUGGAUACGGGCUAGCUAGAGUGCGGUAGGGGAGACUGGAGUUCCUGGUGUAGCGGUGAAAUGCGCAGAUAUCAGGAGGAACACCGGUGGCGAAGGCGGGUCUCUGGACCGAUACUGACGCUGAGGAGCGAAAGCGUGGGGAGCGAACAGG